rnacentral:lncRNA from 1 species
CGUGAACUCGUCUGUGUGGGCCUCCUGGGGUGCGAUGGCGGCGGUGGCGGUAUACAGCCUUGUCUACAACUGUGCGGUAAGUUCAUGGUUUUCCUCUGUCCACCCCUCUCCCGGUUGCUCUGAGACCUAGCCCUAGAGCUAUGGCUGCUCAGUGUGCCGGUCAUCGAGCCAUGGUUUAUUAUGUGAUGGUAGACUCUCUAGCCAUUUCCUUACACCAGUAGUAUUGUUACUGUUCGCAUGUUCAAGCUUUUUGAUAUGCUCUCGGUUAAUGAUCAUGACUUCACUUUGUGAAUGGUCUUGCCCUGCUACGGGUGUUAUCAUCUUUGUUUUUGUGGGCUUGCUAAAUAAUUUUAAUCAUAGAUAUUCUAUGGGUGUUUCUGAGAUUCCCACAUAGAUUCAGAUUAUACUAGAUGGUAGCUUAGCUUCUUUUGUUAGUACUGGUGCAUGGUUUGUUCCGGAUUUGAUGUAAAGCAUUAGUCUUGAUAUGCAAGGAACAAUUCAUCUAGGACGAUGUUUUGCUGAAUCCAACUGAUCGUUGUUGUUUAGACUUGCCAAUGGUGCAUUGUCUGUGUAGCAGUGUUCCUUAAGUUUUGACAAGUGAAGCAAUAGGACACAUGAUGAUGCUAGGUUAUUUGUAUUUUUUCAGCGAUGAACUCGCGAACUAGUUCGCAGGCGGCCUAGUCCUUCCAGUGAGCAAUGAUAUGUAGGAUCUCUCAAAGAAAAUUCUCAUUCCAUACAUACCGAGUGUCUUUCCCCACUCUUUUGUUUUUAGCUUGUCAUGGCAAGAUUUCUUCCUGGCAAGUUAAGUAUAUGUGAAUGUUCAUCAACAUGCAAAAACUGAGUUGCAGUUAUUUGAUGUUUUGCCAGGGCAGUUUCUACGAGAUGCAAACAUGAUUGUGCUUGUCGCCCAGGACCAGGAUGUCGACGUAUGGUGUGCACCAGGAGGCGAACUCGUGCGGCUCAAGGACAGAUUGUUGUGAUGAUCUAUCUGGGUUGUCUAGAAAAAUCCCAAUUUUGAGUGAAGAGUGGAUCCUGUUUGCUGCAAUCUUCAGUACGUAUUGGAUCCCAAUUCCGUUUGUUUCUGGGAUGAUGCAGAUUUUUUGCCUGUCUAUACUAUAACUUGCUGAGAAGAACCAAUUGUCGCAGAUACUAGUGUCGAUGUUGCCUAACCAUUGUUCGAGGCUGAAGAAGCAAAUAGAUGAUCUGGAUGAGAAGAUGGUGGUGACUGACUCUUCUCCCGAGUCUUUGGCGUCCAAGUAGAUCCAGGUGAGUACUUUAGUAACUCAGGCCAUAUGAUCUGGGGCAACAUUGCUGCAUGACAUUAUUUGGCCAUCUCAGUUUUUACUGGUUGCACGACUAUAGCUCCUUUAGUAACCCAGGCCAGUAUGGCCAUUCAGAUAAAUUUGGCCAUCUUCAAGGGAUACGAAAUGACCACUCAAGUAACCCAGUUCCAGUGUAAUACGGACAUGAAGUAAAGCACCAGAUCAUAAUUGUUGUAGCGGCCCUUGUUCUACCUUGGCACCUCGUGCCAACAUAACAAACUGUUUUUAGGCCGUUGUGAUGUAAACUGCCGGUCCAUGUCUUUUGAUAAGCAAGCACAUUUAUCUAGAUGUCAUGUUAGUGUGUGCUUUGAUAGCUGCAUGUUGUCCGUCAAGUAAGAGUGCAUUUACCAACCAUACCAGGAUCCAUCUCAAUACGAGUUAGCAUCUGAUAGCUGUUGCAUGUUCUUUUCAUUUUGUUGGUACAAUUUCUGUUUGUCCAUAAUCUUAGAGCCUAAGUACUAUUUAUGAGAAUUUCCUGAAAGUGAAAUAUGACAAGAAAACUGGACUGGUUAAGGUGUUAUGUUUGUAAAAACUCUUGCUAACAGAUGCUGCUAAGCUAGCUAUGUUAAAUUUCUUGAGGUGGCUGAUAAGAACUUGUGGCAUACUCGACCUAUUCCAAUGUGUUUUGCUGAUGUGCUUCUUGGACGUGACAGGAUUGUCCUUUGUAGGUUGCUUUCUUGUGAUAACCCCUUGUUCGUUUGCUAUUAAUUGAUCUUGUUCUCUCUUGCUCUUUGCCCAGGAUGGUGAGGACGGCGAAAAGAAAAGAUUUUUGCUGGAGAUGGUGCACCCACACCCAUCGGGCUAUUCUUCCGGAGGGCAAAGCGGGCAAGAAGAGGGGUCAAUGGAGCUUGGAGCUCUAUGGGAAGUCUGGUGGUUUUGCUUUAUAUUUUGAUUUUUACAUGUGAAUGGGACGUUGUUUGCCUCGUUUUGCCGGGUGCUCAUGUUGUAUCCAACAUAUGUCUUUUUGAAAAGCAAUGUCAUGCUUCUCUAUGGGAGACGAGAGGUGCAUUUGGGAAGUCGCAAAAUCAUUGCUUUGUCAUGGGCUGGUCUGAGUUUCAAACAAUGUGAUGUUUUUUUUCUCUCGAAUGACAACCAGGAUAUUAGUAUGAUCUUUUUUUUAUCCAAUGUAUGUACCGAAGGAUCAUCACCCUCUUAUGUUUUUGUGUCGUGAAUACUCACGAGCUAAUCAUCCUCGUGUUUCGUAAAAUUUAAG